rnacentral:rRNA from 1 species
UACGGAGGGUGCAAGCGUUAUCCGGAUUCACUGGGUUUAAAGGGAGCGCAGGCGGAUUUGUAAGUCAGACGUGAAAUCCCUCAGCUUAACUGGGGAACUGCGUCUGAUACUGGUGGGCUUGAGUGCAGGAGAGGAACGCGGAAUUCCAGGUGUAGCGGUGAAAUGCGUAGAUAUCUGGAGGAACACCGGUGGCGAAGGCGGCGUUCUGGACUGCAACUGACACUGAGGAACGAAAGCCAGGGGAGCAAACGGG